ensembl:snoRNA SNORA74 Small nucleolar RNA SNORA74
CCCAGCUGUAAGUAACUCACUAGGUCAGUUUUUACCUAAGCAAGUGUUACACUGCUGGAAGAAAAGCAGCAAUAGUUUGCACACAAA